CUUUCCAAAAUUUGUAUUCCUAGAUUUUUCUUAACAUCUAGAUAUCCAAGCACUCUUGGAAAGAUUCUAUAUUCCCAUUUUUUUUUCAGCUCCUCUAUUGUUCAAAAAUUCUUUCAUCCGGAGAACAAUCGAUCAUAGUCAAGCUUCUAAAAAUCUGUCAACGAUUUCUUCAGCAUACCCCCGUAUCGCAAUAUCGAUCGAUCGAUCGGGAUGCUACAACAGCAAGGGACCGGCCCUCGAGUGGUACGAAAAGAGGUCAGGAGGAACAAAAGCACCAGAAAGGCGACGGCAAACAAAACCUUGACUAGCUAAGAAAAAACAAGAAAGAAGAAAGGAAAAACGAAAAAAAGAAGGAAAGAACAUAAAAAAUGGGCACAAGGUACGAUAACGUGACCACAAUGAUUGUAAACAAUUUAAGUGUAUCAGUCGAAAUUGUUCAAGGUAGUCGACUCGUUAGAUAAGGAAACUCGAAUAAAGCACUUGAACGUAUGUACAUUAUACAUAUGCGUUGUUAGCAACGCAACACGAGCAAGUGAAGGACUAUCGAACUUUAGCAAGUUGAAUUUUACAUAUCCUCCAAUAUGAAUUUUAAAAUCCAAUGCGAGAUAUAUCGUCGUCGUCGUAUUACGAAACUCAGGAUUUGCAAUUGAUCACUGUCAUGGACAAGGAGAAAAACACGAAGAAAGGCGUGAUGGAACAAGAGGAAUCGCGUCACGAACCGAACAUCGCCACGAAACGUUUCAUACUGCGGGUUCUCUUAUCAUCGUCUGCCCGUCGUACCUGACAACGUAUACAGGUAUAUACAUUCAUACAAAAGCAAAUUGAACGCGCGUGAUCGUGUAUCUAGUAAGAAAGAAUGGAGAACAAUGGACCAGAUGUGAUUGUCGUCGAGUUAUGAUGGUUAUUUUACUGUUAUAGCAGAGAAACUUUUUAAUCAUGCUUGUAAUUGGAUGUGUUGGUUGAUAUCGACUGCGUUGUAAUUAACGUUCUGAAAGUGGAAUUUUUGUUUUAAAUGACAAUCCAGUCGAUCGCUCGUUUGUUUUUAAAAAAACAAUAAUUGAAAACAUGUAUUUAUACUUUCUAUCUUUACUUUAGCCUUUAUUUCCGCAAAUGAAUAACUUGCUCUUACAGAACUUUUAAACUGUAUGACAUUACAGAGGGUCAAGCCAAGACCUUGCUAUAAUAUGGAAAUCGUUACAGAUGUUACAGUUGUUAUACAUAUGCAGAGAGUUAUAAACGUAUUAACCUUCAAUCGAUCACAAUUUCGCUUAGAGAAGCCUUCUAUUUCAUUAAUUGUAUAUUUUCGUUGCAUAAAAUAUAUGAUAUUAAAUAAAAAUACAUGUAAGAGAAAAUAUGUCGAAUUAGAAAGCUAUUAGUGUCAUCAAUGAUCCAAAGAUGAUAGAAAGUUACUAAAAUACAACACUACAAUAAUAAGCAAGUGAGAAAUAAACUUUAUAAAAUAUAAUUAUAUGAAUACGUGUUUGUAAGUAAAAAAAAAACUUCAAGGAAAUAAAUAAAAAUAAUAAUACGUAUUACGUAUCCUAGUAAUCUACUUCAUAAAUAUUUCAUACAAAAUAGGUUGGACUUGGUGGAAAAAAAUAUCCUAACGAUUCUAUUUACAUAAAAAACUGGUAAUAAAUUAAACUUAAUUACCUACACAACCUAUUAACUGGUAAACUUGGAUGGAAAAAUGGAAAAUGAAUUUUCCAUGAAGACAUGAAGUUGAAAAAAUAUUCUUAUUUUAUAUCUGUUGGAAGUUUAGAUAAUAACGAUUGGUAUCCAACUCUAAUUAACUGUUUCUCCACUGUGCACCUUAUCUACAAAUUGGACAAUAAAACAAGGAAACGAAAGACAAAUGAUUCGGUACAUGUUUGGAAUGUUUCUGAACAGAAAGUGGCGCUUCUGAGAUGAAGAUAAGGGAGAACUAAGUAUUCGAUAAACAUUUGUUCGGAUCUCUAUAAUUCCAUGUGAUUUAAAAGUUUCAUACUUUUGCAUCUAUAUUCUACUAUUUUCUACGUUUUUAUCAUUAUAUCAUUGAAUCUCAAGUGGGCAAUUUAUUUGUAGCACUUGUAAAUUGCUAUGUAUUUUCUUUGUGGAUAUAAAAGAUAUAAUCAACAGUAUCUUUUUUCUUGCAGUAAGCAAGGAGACAUCCGGAUACAGAGGAAUGCAAAAAAAAUGGAAGAUAGAGAAACAAUGAACGGGGCGAAAAAAGAGAAAAUAUAAAAAUAUAGAACUUUGAUACUGCAAGAGUGAAAGACCUCGGGUAAAGAAUGGAAUUUCAAAAGAAAUCAUGAAAAAAAGACAAAAAACGAAAUAUUAUAAUUUUUAAUCAAAUAAGAAGUAAAAAAAAUCAAAAAAGAUAUACUUCACAAGAAUAUGUAACCUUGAACAAAUGAAAGCUCCAUAAAAGGAACAAGGCUUCGAUAGAACGAUAAUUAAUGUGUAAUAAAACUCUUAUAUUUAAAGUAUCUUACUAAUCGUGGUACAAUUGUAAAAGACUUUGUAAGAUUAGUCCUUUCUCCAAGGAGAAAUUAUAGAAUUUUUAAAAGCA